rnacentral:misc_RNA from 1 species
UCCGGGUUAAUCCCGGCGGUCUCGCCAGAAAAGGUAACUGGCGACGAGGGUUGCGCUCGUUGCGGGACUUAACCCAACACCUCACGACACGAGCUGACGACAGCCAUGCAGCACCUGUGCAGGAACUCCGAAGAGGGGCCCUGGUUUCCAGAGGCUUUCACCAGCAUGUCAAACCUAGGUAAGGUUCUUCGCGUUGCUUCGAAUUAAACCACAUGCUCCACCGCUUGUGCGGGCCCCCGUCAGUUCCUUUGAGUUUCAGCCUUGCGGCCGUACUCCCCAGGCGGGAUGCUUAAAGCGUUAGCUGCGCCACUGACGAGCAAGCUCGCCAACGGCUAGCAUCCAUCGUUUACGGCGUGGACUAC